GAGGUUGUGGCUCAGUGGUAAAGUGCUCAUCUGGCAUAUGUGAGGCACUGGGUUUGAAUCUCAGCACCACA
rnacentral:tRNA from 1 species